UACGUAGGGGACAAGCGUUAUCCGGAAUUACUGGGUGUAAAGGGAGCGUAGACGGUAAUGUAAGUCUGGAGUGAAAGGCGGGGGCCCAACCCCCGGACUGCUCUGGAAACUAUGUUACUAGAGUGCUGGAGAGGUAAGCGGAAUUCCUAGUGUAGCGGUGAAAUGCGUAGAUAUUAGGAGGAACACCAGUGGCGAUGGCGGCUUACUGGACUGUAACUGACGUUGAGGCUCGAAAGCGUGGGGAGCAAACAGG
rnacentral:rRNA from 1 species